UAUUGAAAAGGGUAAACUGCCUGUAAAGGCAGGGCACAAAGCUAUCAGGGUCCCGCCUCUUGUAAGACAAGAGGCGGGACAGCCAGCUGCCGAU
rnacentral:ncRNA from 1 species